rnacentral:rRNA from 1 species
ACUACCCGCUGAACUUAAGCAUAUCAAUAAGCGGAGGAAAAGAAACUAACAAGGAUUCCCCUAGUAACUGCGAGUGAAGCGGGAAGAGCUCAAAUUUUGAAUCUGGCAGUCCUUGGCUGUCCGAGUUGUAAUCUAGAGAAGUGUUUUCCGCGCUGGACCGUGUAUAAGUCUCCUGGAAGGGAGCGUCAUAGAGGGUGAGAAUCCCGUCUUUGACAUGGACUACCAGUGCUAUGUGAUGCGCUCUCGACGAGUCGAGUUGUUUGGGAAUGCAGCUCAAAAUGGGUGGUAAACUCCAUCUAAAGCUAAAUACAGGCGAGAGACCGAUAGCGAACAAGUACCGUGAGGGAAAGAUGAAAAGAACUUUGGAAAGAGAGUUAAACAGUACGUGAAAUUGCUGAAAGGGAAACGCUUGAUGUCAGUCACGUUGGCUGGGGAUCAACCUUGCUUCUCGCUGGGUGUACUUCCCGGUCGACGGGUCAGCAUCAGUUUCAGUCGCUGUACAAGGGUGAGGGGAACGUGGCACUCCUCGGAGUGUGUUAUAGCCUUUCAUCGUAUGCAGUGGUCGGGACUGAGGAGCUCAGC